UUACUGUUUUUUCAUCUCUUCCAGCUGUGUGAGCCGAAUGUUGUUUAUUUUCGGAUGUUAAGUACACAACUGCAAUUGUUUAACCAAAAUUGGUGGACCCAAAUGGGCAGAACAACGGCGGUUAAGCUUAUGUGUUUAAGCUCAUUUCACAGAACUUGAUUGAUUUGAACGUGUAAAUUGAUUUUUGUAUUUCACAGUUUUAAAACGCGUACCUACAAUUAAAACCCGCACUUCAGUGUAUUACCCACUAGAAAUUUUCGAUGAAUCGUUUAAACACAAUCGUUGAAAUGCAUAAAAAGCACUUUUGUCUUUCACAGAACAUGGUGGCAAGCUGGUAGGUCAGCAGCAUUUAUAUGGAUAUUGAUGGAUGGACCCCCUGGCAGCGGGAAAGCCGACUGAACUCAAUCAAAGCGUGACAGAGUGCCAACUGCACGGGAAUGGGAUGAAUGCUCAGGGACUCACGCUCCAAUAAAUUCGUCAGUUCGUGUUUUAGCAAUGUCGUUUACCUGAUGCAUUCAUUCUCCCCGCCAGAGAGUCAUAAGUUCUAACAUGGAGCAAGUCGUGACAGCCAGUCACUCAAGCGGACCUAGAAAAGAGGAGACCCCCUUGAGCCACCAGAGGCAUUUGUUAUUAAAAAGGGUUAACUCUGCAGUGUUGGAUACAUGCAACAUAAAUAAUUUUUCGGCAUCUUCAAUACUUGUGCAGCAUUUAUGGUUCUCUAAGCCAGUUUAAGUCCUGCUACACGAAGGAAGAAAACUUCAAAAUUAUGCACACUAUCUGCGAAAUCAACAACGGAGGAACCAGGAAGCCGUCGAGAUAUGGGUAAAAAUCGAAAUGGAAAUUCCUUGGGAUUAGCAUAAGCGUGUUUGAAAUGCUCUUUGUUAGCGCCGAAAUGGAAAGAAUGAAAAUUUAUUGUGAAAACAGCAUUAAGUUAA